UUUCCCAGAAAUGCUACUUACAAAUAAUUUUUUAAAGAAAAAAAUCCAAAGUCAUUGAUUCCCACAAUAGCCACACCCAAAGUCAGUAUGUGUAAAAUUUUUCCAGGAGAAAAUUGUGCAAAUAAACUAAAUUAGAACAGAUUAGACCAAAGGCCUAUAUAGUCUGAAAAUGAAGGGUUAUUGAGAUGCUCAAAUAAGACAUUUCACUACUGAAAUAUCUCUUGUUCUUGAAUUUUUUGGAAUAAAAUACUAUGACUUUCUGCUCACAUUUUUUUUCUUUUUUUUUUUUAAGCUAAAAGGGAAAAUCAAGUGCUUUAAAGUUAAACAAAAGAACCAGGUCUGCAACUCCAGUCCCCACCCUGCAGCCUUUUGUUCUGGGGACAAGUGGCCGUUUCCAACUGCAGAGGCAGAUGACAAGCAUUUAUUUUUUCAUCUAAAACAAGGUUUUUCUUUCGUCUUUUAUUGGGGAGGGGGAGUGGGGAACGAGGGCUGCGUGAACGCCCUUUGUCCGCCUCGGGCUGCCGUAGAGACCGCAGUGCGGACUGCACCACGCCCACCAACCGGUGUCUCCCGGAGAAACGCUUCAGCACCACCCCAGGAGAAUAGAGCGCGGGCUGGGGCUGCGGAGGGACCCGGCGACCUCUGUCAGGAGCGAGGGGAGGGCCGGGACGCCAGGGAUAAAGGGAAAGGCAGAGACCAGAGCUGCCCACCCAGGGACUCCCAGGGCAACAAAGCCAGGCAAACUGAGAGCUAGAAGACUUCUGUUAGGAGAAGCGUUAUCCUGUCAGUUGAUUACCCUGAGUUAUUAUUAUUGCUGUUUGACAGAUGAAAAACUGACAUGGAGAAAAGUUAGACAAUUCCUCCAAAUCACAAAGAUAGUAAGUUGAAAACUUGUGAAAAGAACUCUGCUAUGUCAUAUUUCAAAGUCUAUGACCUCCCCUAUAUGGUACCUUCACUGAUGCUAUUGAAUUUAAAGCAAAUAAAGGAAAUGAAGCACAGCCCAAGUGUUGAUUGGUGGGAAGAAUAAAACAGUCAGAGUAAAUCUCACAUUGAAUGAACCUCCAGUGUUGUGUUGUUAGUUAGAAUUAAAGUCAUUCUCUAGAGUGUAACUUAAGACAGUAUGUCAUUUAAGGGUCAAGAAAUAGUCUGUUUACUCAGCAUUUAUCAGUCCUUUCUUUCCAAACUUUAAGCUAGCUAUAGAAAAAUUCCAGAGAGCCUGGGGAAAGAAACAAAAGGAAAAUUAGGGAAAAGACUUACAAGGUAUGAAGUAUUAGAGAACAUUUUAAAAGGAUAAUCUAUACGCUAUGUCAUUGAUGGCUGCAGCCAUUCUCUAUGCCCAUAAACUAAAUGGGCCUAACUCUUAACAGUGGCUAUUAGGUUAGUUAGAAGAGGCAUGUUUCUGAAAAUUCCAUAGUGAACUUCAUAGCCAGAGGAAAAUAUCUUAUACUUCUUUCUAUUCAAUCAUCCUUGACUCCGAAAGUGCCUCUUAUUUUCUUUUGGUGGAACAGUGGAAAAAAAAUAUCACACUGGAAGGCCAAUUGACUGAAAUCAAGUCCCUUUUCCUAACUGUGUGAACUGGGUCCUUCACAUCACUAUCCUUCAACAACAAGAAAAACAAAAAACAUCCUAUAAAUGUAUAAAGAAGAAAAUGAAAGUUCUUUCUUUGCUACCCCUAGUUCUCUUCCCCUUCCUAGAGGCUAAACUAUUUUGUGUGCAUGUGUGUGUGUGUGUAGAAUGUACACAUAUAUGUAGGGGAUUGGUUCUAGGACUCUGUCCCCUGUGAAUACCAAAAUUCAGGGACGCCUAAGUUCCUUAUAUAAAAUGAUGCUUAUAACCUACGCACAUCCUCCUGUAUACUUUAAAUAAUCUUGAUUACUUAUAAUAUCUAAAACAGUGUAAAUGCUAUGUAAAUAGUUGUUAUACUGUAUUGUUUAGGAAAUAAUGACAAGAAAAAAGUCUGCACAUGGUCAGAACAGAUUCAACCAUUCUUUUUUUAUAUAUUUUUUUCUGAAUAAUUACAAUCCAUGGUUUGUUGAAUCCACAGAUGCAGAACUGGUGGAUAUGGAGGGCUGACUGUAUACAUGUAUCUUCCCCAUAUAAAUAGAACAAUAUUUUAUAUACUGUUCUUCAAAUGGCAUUUUCCCUUUGAAGCUCUUUUCAAAUAUGUAAAAAUCUAUUUUUAAAAACUGCUGCACAGUAGCUCAUAGAAUGAAUCUACCAUAUUUCCUUUACUCUUUCCCCUCUUGGUGGUCCUUUAGGUGGUGUUUGGUUUUUUUCUAUUAUAAAUAGUGUGCAAUGACCAUGCUUGUAAGUGCUUCUAUACUCAUAUAUGUUUCUCUGAGCACAGAUGCCUAGAUCUAGAAGCCAAACAGAUGGGUUGAAGGUGAUACCUAAUUUUAACAUUUGAUGACUCCUGCCAAAUUACCCUCUGAAAAGAAUUUAACAAUUUAUAUUCCUUCCACAUCAUUGCCUCUUUCCCCACAUCAUAAUGUAAGUCUUCUUAUUUUUUACUCACCAAAGGGAGAGAAAUAUUUACUGUUUAAAACUGAGCACCUUUUAAACUGCUUUUCUUUCUUUAUUGGCUUAACUCUUCAAGAUGUGUCUUUUUUCUGAUUGGACUAUUGUUUUUAUCUUUACUGGCUUUUAGAAGCUCUUUAUAUAAUCUGGAUAAUAAGCUUUCGUCAUCAAUAUAUGUUGCAGAUAUUUCCUCUCAGUGUGUCAUCAGAUUUUGUAUUUAUGUCUAUUUAUUAUGUCUGUGACCAUACAAAUUAUUAAAUUUCUUAUAAGGUUAGGCUAAGCUUCUUUCUUUAUGAGUUAAUGGGGGUUGUCUGUCUUAGAAAGGAUCUCUCAUUCCAAACCUUAAAACUAUUCUCCUAAUAAUUUUAGAUUUGUUCAACUGAGAGAGUGCUUAACUCAGGAGAUCAAUAAAGGUUCAUAGAGGAAGAAGUAUUUGAAAUUGUCCUGGAAGAACAAUAUUUUUCAACAGGCAGAGAUGGAGAAAGGACAAUCUACAUGAACAGAACAGCAUGAGCAAAAAGAACUGGUAGAAAUAUAUUGAGCUUAUUCUUGAAAAUAGCUAGCAGUUUACUCCUCCUUUCUUUUGUAUACUAACAGCAGCACACUGAACAAACUGUUCUGUCAUCUUGUUUUUAUCACUUACCAUAUCUUUGAAAUAUUUCCAUAACCAUCAUAAGGAGUAUCCCUAUUGCUUUUUGAGCAAUGCAUAGAAUUCCAUUUUGUGUGAAUAUCAUAAUUUAUCACUCUUCUAUUUUUAUCACUCCUCUGUUGAUGAUGACUUCCAGUCUUUUGAUAAUAUAAACAGUGCUGUAGUAAAUAAAGUUCUGUAUAUGUCUUUUCCCACAGGUUAGAGACUAUCCAUAGGAUAAAUUUCUAGCAAAUUGCUGAGUCCAGGAUAUGCAUGUUUGCAAUUUUGGAAGAUCUUAAAAACUUGCCUCCUAUAGGUGUUGUACCAGUAUAUACUUCUGCCAGUAAUAGAUGGGUGGGCUGCUGAUGCCUCAAAAUGUAAGUAUUUUCAAACUUUUAAAUUUUAGCCCAUUUAACAUAAUUUAAAAAUUAUGUCUCUGUGUGAUUUUAGUUCCAUUUCCCUUAUUAUAUAUAAGACUGAACAUCUUGGCAUAUGUUUAAGGGCCAUCUGCAUUUCCUUUUCUGUGCACUGUCAGCUUAUAUGCUUUGCCCAUUUUUUCUAGUAGAUGGUUAGUGUUUUUCUUAUUGAUUUGUAUAUAUUCUGUAUUACUCCUUUAUCACAUUGCCACAAAGAAAUGCCUGAGAUGGUGUCAUUUAUAGAGAAAAGAGGUUUAAUUGGCUCACAGUUCCACAGGCUAUACAGGAAGCAUGGCUGAGGAGGCCUCAGGAAACUUAACAAUCAUGGCAGAAGGUGAAGGGGAAGCAGGCACAUCUACACAUGGCCAGAGCAGGAGGAAGAGAGAGAAGGAAGAGGUGCUACACCCUUUUAAGCAACCAGAUCUUGUGAGAUCUCACUAUCGUGAGAAUAGCAAGGAGGAAAUCUGCCCCCAUGAUUCAGUCACCUCCUGCCAGACCCCUCCUCCAACAUUAGGGAUUACAAUUCGACACGAGAUUGCCGGUGGGACACAAAUCCAAACCAUAUCAUAUUCUUUAUACAUUUGGGAAAUUAACUUUUUUCUGUAAUAUGAUUUACAAAUAUUUUUCUCAGAUUGGCAUUUGUUUUUUGACUUUUCAUAUUGUGCAUUUUGCCAUGGGAAGUUUUUUUUGUCAUUAAAUUUACCUAUUCUUUCAUUCAUAUGGCUUCUGGGUCCUAUAUUAUACUUAGACCUUUACCAUUCUGAAAUUAUGUAAGAAAAAUUCUCUCAGGGUUUUUUCCUAGUAAUUUUAAGACUUUACUUUUAAUAUUUUGGAUUUAUCCAGAUGUAGACUAUAAGAUAAGGAUCCACAUUUUUUCCCCAGCUCUACAUUUUGCUGCUAGAAGAUUUUACAAAAUUUUGCAAUUACUUAGUAACUUACAUUUCUUCCCAAUUGAUUUUGAAAUCUGUAAGAGCAGAAACUUUGAUUUCAUAUUUUUAUUCUCUCACAUGCCUGCCCUUUAAUGCACUUCAACCCCAGCCCCAAGUUUUGCCUAGUACUUGGCAGUUAGGUAGUUGUUACUUCUGCAUCUCUUGACUGCUGGGGAGGAAAGAUUCCACCUGAGUUAAGGCAAGUCCUACCCAGGAUGUGGCUGCAAAUGAGACUGCAAAGUUCUCGACCGAUGUCUUUUCAUUAAACUCUGGCUUUUACCAAGUACAAGUACCAAGUGAGUCAUACCGACACAUGUAGAGGAUGGCAUCCUGAGGGGAAAAGAAUUAUAGUGGAAAUAACCAAGGCUGCUUGGAGAAAAGCUUCUCAGCUGGCACUGCAGAACAGCAGCCACUGCCACAGCAAACAGCAAAACAAUAACAAGCUUACUUGCAGAAGGUGGGAAGCUGCAGACGUAAAUGCAGGCUCCCUUCCCAGGCUACCAGCAGUCCCUGGGGAUGAAGUAGUCUAAAUGGGCAGCAGUUGUGGAGUCCUCCCCGCUCACAGGAAUGGAAGAUGUCACUCACUAGCAGAAGUGCUCUGGGGUGGCAAUGAGGAGUACUGUCUUUGGACUCUGACAGGAACAUCUGGAUGGCACCAGGCUCAGGGAGACGGGUCUUGUGUGUCCUGCUAAGCACUAACAGCAAUAAUUGAGCAGCAGCAAUCUGCCUCACAUCAUUCUAGGCCCUAGGAGGGCACAAAGUUGGUUCUUGGCUCAGGUUAUCAGGAAAGUAACGUAUGUGCGUACAAAUAAAGUGUCCAACAGCAGAAAGGGAUGCCCUGAACAGUCCAGGUUGCACAAAGGAGUAUGGACAAACAAGUAGUUUCAUCCAGCUGGGAGCACUAGGAAAGCUCAGAAGGAGGAUGCCUCCAGGAGCCAGUGAGUGUAUUCUGUCACCAGGUGCCUUGGAGAGUGGAGGAUCUGGAGGGCACUUUUUGAGGCUGAUAGGAAGAAAGCAGACGGGUGGAGUGGUAGAUGGAAUGACGCCCUCACCCUCUGCAAUGUUCACAUUCUAAUCCCUGAGAUAUGUGAAUAUGUUACUCUAGCUGACAAAAGGGACUUUGCAGAUGUGAUUAAGGAUUUUGAGCUGGGGAGGUGACUCUGAAUUACAUGAAUGGGCCCAGUAUAAUCACAAGGGUCCUUAUAAUAGGGAGACUGGAGUGUCAGAGUCACAGAUGAGCUGUGAUGAUGGACGCAGUGGUGAGAGAGAGAUGUGAAGAUGGAAGGAGAGGGCCAUGGGCCAAGGAAUGUGGGUGGUCUCUAAAAGCUGGAAAAGGCAAGAAAAUGGAUCCUCCCCUAGAGACUCCAGCAGGAACAAAACCCUGCUGACACCUUGACUGUAGGACUUCCAACCUCCAGAACUAUAAAAUAAUAAAUUCAUGUUGUUUUAAACCACUAA
rnacentral:lncRNA from 1 species